UUUACCUUUGAUUUAUUAUUGAUGGCUCGUCGUUUUCGAGAAUGAUUUGCGAUAGGAACAAUAUUGAAAAAUAUUUGUGAACUAUUGUACUGUGUACUGUGUGUACUGUGCGGGAGUGAAUGGUGUGGACGAAUACAAAACCAAUGAAGAGGAGCGCAAAUAUGAUUUUCGAGAUUUCUAUAAAUGGUUACCAGCUUCUUAAAAUCCGCCAGUCUUGGUAUGCAGGUCACUUCUUCAAAUUGACAUAAAAGUCAUACUAGCCGAUUUUAAUAGCC